rnacentral:misc_RNA from 1 species
UACGUAGGUGGCAAGCGUUGUCCGGAACUAUUGGGCGUAAAGCGCGCGCAGACGGCCUCUUAUUGCUGCUGUGAAAGCCCCCGGCUCAACCGGGGAGGGCCAUUGCAAACUGGGAGGCUUGAGAAUAGGAGAGAAGAGUGGAAUUCCACGUGUAGCGGUGAAAUGCGUAGAGAUGUGGAGGAACACCAGUGGCGAAGGCGACUCUUUGGCCUAUAACUGACGCUGAGGCGCGAAAGCGUGGGGAGCAAACAGG